GUCUGGCCAGGCCGUGGUGAGCCCCGGGUCAGGGAUUCUUCGAGCCAGGCGCUCGAAGAAUCAUGGUGCCCUGGGGCUGGGCUUCUCCAGGGCCCUGCUGACAUGUGGGGCUGGGUCACUGCUCGUCCUGGGGGCCGGGCUGGGCCCUGGAGGGUCAGCAGCAGCAUUCCUGGUCUCUACCCACUCGAUGCCAGGGGCUUUUCUCCCGCCCAGUGUGACAACUACAGAUGUCUCCAGACAUUUCAGAUGUCCCGGGGGUAAAACCGCCCCCGGUGGAGAACCACUCUUCUUGGGCUUACGGGAGGCCCCUGCCUGCGCUCUCCAGGAAGAGCCGGGAGGCUGAUCUUAUCACCCAAGUCCUCAGAAGGGAGUGCAGAGGCCCAGAGAGGUGGUGUGUUUGGCUUCAGGCACAGCCAAGAGGCAGAUCUGGCUUUCCCUCUGGUUCUCCUGACCGUCCAAACCAGGGCUCAUUCCGUGAAUUCAGCACACACUUGCAUACACGCACGCACACAUGGAACUCGAGGGAUACGACGUAGGAGAGGCGGUUUUUACAAAAUGCAUAGAUGGCCCCGGCUAUCCUCAGUUGGUGGAGGGGGUAGUACAGGGCUGCCCUGUCCGACUCUGGCCACCCCUGGAACAGGCCAGCUUUCUCCCCAAUACGGAUCUCUGUACUCAGAGGUGCUGAAUAAAUGAUGUUGACUCAUGCGGGCAGCUGGGUGGGGAAGACCGCGUGGAAGGAGUGAGCCGCUCAUGAGUCAGGGCCAUUGUGAGCUCAGCGGCCCCGUCCUGCUCCCGCGCUGGCUCUGCACCCCUGCGAGUGUCCAGCAGGCAUCCCGGCUGGGGAAAACCCGAUACCAAACAGCAGGAAAGGCAUGGCUCUCCCGGAACACACGGACGCACCCCGUCGCCCGCAGGCUCGCACGGCUCUUCGUUGUUCCAGGGAAGAUGGUCUCCUUCUUGGCCCCUCACGCCUGCAGCUCCGAGUUAGAGAAGGCCGCCUCUGCCCCCGAGCUGGUCGGAGGCACAUUCCUGAAGGUUUUGACUGAGUCGUCUUUACUUAGGGAGCCUAACGGGCUGGUCAUGCGGGCUUCACGUGGGGGACAUGCGAGCUCUCUAUUUGACCCACAAGAAAUCCAUCUGUGCACCCGAGGGUGCCCUCCCAGGGUCCCCUGUGUCAGCCUCUCCAUGGUGCCCACAGCAUGACGGGCUGCCGGCUAAGCCGUGUGCAUGGGGGUGGGGGUGUCCGACCCAGCCGCCUCCCCUCGGGACUCCUGGACAUGGGCCCACGCUCAAGGAGGUGGGCAUCCUGGGGAGGGGGGUGUCUCAGGCUCGUGCCUGCAGCUCUUGUUCCAGACUUUCUGGAAAGCCACAUUGGCUGGUUGGGGGAUUCAUUCAUUUGUUUACCCAUGAUUUGAUCAUGCCUUCAUUCAUUCAUUUGCCUUCAUUCAUUCACUCAUGCACUUGAGAGACAGUGAGAGAGAGAGCACAAGCAGGGGUGAUGGGCAGAGUGGAGGGAGAAGCAUGUGUUCACAUAUUCACUCCCUGCCCCACCUCCUAUUACCUCUACCCUGCUCAUACCUUUUCCAGCUUUGUUUCCCUCCCCAGACGUUAUCGCCCCCACCGACUGCACAAUUCACCCCGUUGGCGAGGAUGCCAGCUCCAGGCUAACUUGUCAUGAG
ensembl:lncRNA